rnacentral:ncRNA from 1 species
AACAUAGCGAAGAAGAGAAGGCUAUGCAAUAGCGUUUAUGUCCAGAGAGCGGAGGGUUUGCUGAAACCUCCGUCGUAACGCAUGUAUAGUGUCGUCUCGGAGCUGUUGACCGAACGCGGAAGGCGUGAUAACAUGCCCGCAAGUAGGAUCAACCGGCCUGGCAUCCGUUAACAUGCUGCAGGUAAAGCAUCGGCUUUACCUCAUGAGACUGCAAUUGCGAGGUUGCAGUAAACUUGGGUGGUACCGCGAUUCCCCUUUCGUCCCAAGG